rnacentral:rRNA from 1 species
GACGUAGGGCGCGAGCGUUGUCCGGAAUUAUUGGGCGUAAAGAGCUCGUAGGCGGUCUGUCGCGUCGGCUGUGAAAACCCGGAGCUCAACUCCGGGCCUGCAGUCGAUACGGGCAAACUGGAGUGUUGCAGGGGAGACUGGAAUUCCUGGUGUAGCGGUGAAAUGCGCAGAUAUCAGGAGGAACACCGGUGGCGAAGGCGGGUCUCUGGGCAACAACUGACGCUGAGGAGCGAAAGCGUGGGGAGCGAACAGG